AAACCCGUUCCUGAUCUUUACAUUCAACAUGACAGAAGUGUUGGACCUCAAUUCACGAUCAGACAAAGAUCUCUUCCUUGUUGGAGCAGCAGGUCGAAGCCAGACAGGAAGACUUUGAGGGUUGUUGUUUUGUAGGACAUGUUCAUCACUUUGAGGGUUGUUGUUUUGUAGGACAUGUUCAUCAUUCUCUGGUUCUGUGCAAAAGAAGAGAAUUCGUUUGGCAUCUUCUUUCUCAAAUGAAGCUACCGAUAAUCCAUGUAUGCUUGCAACUCCAAGUGAAACAAAACUUCGGUACGAGACUUCAGGUGCGAGUUGUUUGA
rnacentral:lncRNA from 1 species